ensembl:snoRNA SNORD31 Small nucleolar RNA SNORD31
UUGCACUGUGAUGAGUUUCUGUGACCGCCCCAGUCUGAGAAUCAAUGACUGAUUGGUAUUGUUCUGAUUUCUG